GAUGAACGCUGACAGAAUGCUUAACACAUGCAAGUCCACUUGAACUUCGGUUUGGGUGGCGGACGGGUGAGUAACGCGUAAAGAACUUGCCUCACAGAUAGGGACAACAUUUGGAAACGAAUGCUAAUACCUGAUAUUAUGAUUUUAGGGCAUCCUAGGAUUAUGACAGCUAUAUGCGCUGUGAGAGAGCUUUGCGUCCCAUUAGCUAGUUGGAGAGGUAACGGCUCACCAAGGCGAUGAUGGGUAGCCGGCCUGAGAGGGUGAUCGGCCACAAGGGGACUGAGACACGGCCCUUACGCCUACGGGAGGCAGCAGUGGGGAAUAUUGGACAAUGGACCAAGAGUCUGAUCCAGCAAUUCUGUGUGCACGAUGAAGUUUUUCGGAAUGUAAAGUGCUUUCAGUUGGGAAGAAAAAAAUGACGGUACCAACAGAAGAAGUGACGGCUAAAUACGUG
rnacentral:rRNA from 1 species